AGUGAACGCUGGCGGUAGGCCUAACACAUGCAAGUCGAACGGCAGCACAGGAGAGCUUGCUCUCUGGGUGGCGAGUGGCGGACGGGUGAGGAAUACAUCGGAAUCUACUUUUUCGUGAGGGAUAACGUAGGGAAACUUACGCUAAUACCGAAUACGACCUACGGGUGAAAGCAGGGGACCUUCGGGCCUUGCGCGAUUGAAUGAGCCGAUGUCGGAUUAGCUAGUUGGCGGGGUAAAGGCCCACUAAGGCGACGAGCCGUAGCUGGUCUGGGAGGAUGAUCAGCCACACUGGAACUGAGACACGGUCCAGACUCCUACGGGAGGCAGCAGUGGGGAAUAUUGGACAAUGGGCGCAAGCCCGAUCCAGCCAUACCGCGUGGGUGAAGAAGGCCUUCGGGUUGUAAAGCCCUUUUGUUGGGAAAGAAAUCCAGCUGGCUAAUACCCGGUUGGGAUGACGGUACCCAAAGAAUAAGCACCGGCUAACUUCGUGCCAGCCGCCGCGGUAA
rnacentral:rRNA from 1 species